AACGAACGCUGGCGGCAUGCCUAACACAUGCAAGUCGAACGAGAUCUUCGGGUCUAGUGGCGCACGGGUGCGUAACGCGUGGGAAUCUGCCCUUUGGUUCGGAAUAACAGUUGGAAACGACUGCUAAUACCGGAUGAUGACGAAAGUCCAAAGAUUUAUCGCCAGAGGAUGAGCCCGCGUAGGAUUAGCUAGUUGGUGUGGUAAAGGCGCACCAAGGCGACGAUCCUUAGCUGGUCUGCGAAGAUGAUCAGCCACACUGGGACUGAGACACGGCCCAGACUCCUACGGGAGGCAGCAGUGGGGAAUAUUGGACAAUGGGCGAAAGCCUGAUCCAGCAAUGCCGCGUGAGUGAUGAAGGCCUUAGGGUUGUAAAGCUCUUUUACCCGGGAUGAUAAUGACAGUACCGGGAGAAUAAGCUCCGGCUAACUCCGUGCCAGCAGCCGCCGUAA
rnacentral:rRNA from 1 species